rnacentral:rRNA from 1 species
AGGUAAGCUACUAAGAGCGAAUGGUGGAUGCCUUGACUGGUAAAGGCGAUGAAGGACGUACUAGACUGCGAUAAGCUACGGGGAGCUGUCAAGAAGCUUUGAUCCGUAGAUUUCCGAAUGGGGCAACCCAAUGUAUAGAGAUAUACAUUACCUAUAUAGGAGCGAACGAGGGGAAUUGAAACAUCUUAGUACCCUCAGGAAAAGAAAUCAAUAGAGAUUGCGUCAGUAGCGGCGAGCGAAAGCGCAAGAGGGCAAACCCAGUGCUUGCACUGGGGGUUGUAGGACUGCAAUGUGCAAGAGGUGAGUUUAGCAGAACAUUCUGGAAAGUAUAGCCAUAGAGGGUGAUAGUCCCGUAUGCGAAAAACAAACCUUAGCUAGCAGUAUCCUGAGUAGGGCGGGACACGAGAAAUCCUGUCUGAAGCUGGGUCGACCACGAUCCAACCCUAAAUACUAAUACCAGAUCGAUAGUGCACAAGUACCGUGAGGGAAAGGUGAAAAGAACUGAGGUGAUCAGAGUGAAAUAGAACCUGAAACCAUUUGCUUACAAUCAUUCAGAGCCCUAUGUAGCAAUACAGGGUGAUGGACUGCCUUUUGCAUAAUGAGCCUGCGAGUUGUGGUGUCUGGCAAGGUUAAGCAAACGCGAAGCCGUAGCGAAAGCGAGUCUGAAUAGGGCGCUUAGUCAGAUGCUGCAGACCCGAAACGAAGUGAUCUAUCCAUGAGCAAGUUGAAGCUAGUGUAAGAACUAGUGGAGGACUGAACCCAUAGGCGUUGAAAAGCCCCGGGAUGACUUGUGGAUAGGGGUGAAAGGCCAAUCAAACUUCGUGAUAGCUGGUUCUCUCCGAAAUAUAUUUAGGUAUAGCGUUGUGUCGUAAUAUAAGGGGGUAGAGCACUGAAUGGGCUAGGGCAUACACCAAUGUACCAAACCCUAUCAAACUCCGAAUACCUUAUAUGUAAUCACAGCAGUCAGGCGGCGAGUGAUAAAAUCCGUCGUCAAGAGGGAAACAACCCAGACUACCAGCUAAGGUCCCUAAAUCUUACUUAAGUGGAAAACGAUGUGAAGUUACUUAAACAACCAGGAGGUUGGCUUAGAAGCAGCCAUCCUUUAAAGAAAGCGUAAUAGCUCACUGGUCUAGUGAUUUUGCGCGGAAAAUAUAACGGGGCUAAAGUAAGUACCGAAGCUGUAGACUUGCGCACAACUUAGAUUAUUUAAGUUUAGAAUAUGAGAAACUAAGUUAUAUGUUUAGUUAUAUUUUUACUGAUUUUUAUAGAGUAAAGAUAGAAAUAAAACUUAGUAAAAUCAGUAAAAAUAUUCUUAGAUUAAAGUUAAGUAGUUUAAGUUGUGUGCAAGU